AAGCUAAGGAGGAAGGGAGAGCAAGGGAAAAAGUGGUAGUAACGUGGAUUGACUAUAGUUGGGUUCGGACUAAGAGGUGAUAUAAAGGCAUACGUCGCAUCCACUUGGUUUAACUUACCUGGAAGAUCGAAGAUCGAACACAACAAGAAAGCUCUCCGAGCCUAAUUGGCUAAAACUUCACAACGCCACGCCACUUCUCCAACAUCAUGUUGGUGAGGUCGGUGUUAGUACUGACAACUGUUGUAUUGGCCAAGGUAAGGAGAGUAUGGUUCUUCGACGUAACAUCAUAAAUUGGCAACAAUCAAUUGCAUUGGUAGCAUUUACAAUCCGAAAAAACAAUGGUGACUACUUGGUCGAUUAUGACGAAAUAUUGGUAAAUACACAGGAAAUUAAGGAAUCUUCAUCACCCACUGUCCUGGUUUAUAUCAAUUGUCUUUCACCGGAUGCGAUAGCAUGGAUCUUCGAUUUACCUUAAAACUAAUACUUGGCAUAGAUCAAGUUGAUUAUUGAAAACUGAUUGUUAGUAUUGAUCCAAAUUGUGAACGGCAAUAUAAUUUUAUUGUCUAUUAAUGUUGAGAUCCAGCGGCGAUCUUCAUAGAAUUUGGAAAUAUCACGGAUAAUCUUCUGAAUAUCAACAGAAAGUGAAUUUAACAUAGUCCCGGAUUUUCUUCACGAUCGAGACAUCUUCCAGGGAGGUUCCUCGCUGAGUGCAAUCAACGAAUCAAAUUCAAUUGGUUUUCGAAAUUCCUAAAACAUUUCUUUGAUCACGCGAUUUUAAGACAAAUUUAAUAACAUAGUACUGAUUUGAUUGAUGUUUGAUGAUUUUGAUUUUUCAUGAUGAUUGAUUUCAUUGAAUGUUUCAAAUACUUAAAAAAAAAAAAAAAAAUGAAAUUGAUUCGUUGACUGGCCACUCGGUUUCAUUAAGAAAUAUAAAAUCGGCAAAUCCUUCUUUCUUGCUUUACUAUCAUUGGUUUGAACGAUGCGAACUGCUCCUAAAAAAUUAUUUCAUCGUUAUCGAGGUUUUUUACUCAUGAGAGUAGCUGAACCUUCUCGACAAACCUAACGUUCUGUGAUAGCCUUUUCUCGCUUGUCUAUCGAUUCUCAGGUACCUCGCAAUCCUUUCGGUUCUUUUUUCCUUUAUCGCAAUCAAACAUGGAAUCGAUGAAAUUAUUUGACCCUUCAAAAUAAUCAUCGACAAUGAUCUAUGAAUCUUUGUUAAAAAAAUCCUUAGCGCUCUUACUAUACCUCGGGUCAAAUUUUGUCAAUUUAAACAAAUUUUUUUUUCUAAUCUUACUGCUUUAUCCUUUUUCACGCAAAACUUCAAACUUUCCGUCUCACGUGCAACCUCUCAACUUUUUUUUUCGUUUUCUUUCUUCUGUGUAUAUCUAUUUUAUUUCCUAUAAGUGUUUCCACUUUUAUUUCUUUCACUUUAUCUUUCGUUGCCAUCAACAUAUCAGUAUUAUCAAACUCAAGAUUUGUUGCUUGAUCUUGCCAACAUGAAUUUCAUUUCAAUAUACUACUUUCUACUAUUUUCUAUUUACAUUUUCAUUCUUUAAUUUUCUCCUUUCUCUCAGUUUUAUUUUUUGUAGAAUUUCCUUUGAAAAUCUCUAAAACGCAUUUCUUCUUUAAAUCUAUAUAUUAAUUCUUUCAUUGUACGAACUUUUAUUUCUUACUACUGUACCUGAACUACCGUUUCAAAGAUACGCUAUUUUUCUAAUUACUUUUUAAUUUUUCUCUUCACUAAUUCUCUCAUCAUAUCAUUUCUUUAUCUCGUUUCUUUACUAUCUUACUUACUCUUUACUUUCUACAAAUUAUUUUUUCUCGAACUAUUUAAUUCUCCUACUACAUAUAUUAUAAAAAAAAGCUUUUAUGGAUUAGCUUAUUUUCUCUGUUUCUCUGUUCUGUUUGUAUAUUUCU